AUUGAACGCUGGCGGCAGGCCUAACACAUGCAAGUCGAACGGUAACAGGAAACAGCUUGCUGUUUCGCUGACGAGUGGCGGACGGGUGAGUAAUGUCUGUGAAACUGCCUGAUGGCGGGGGAUAACUACUGGAAACGGUAGCUAAUACCGCAUAACGUCGCAAGACCAAAGAGGGGGACCUUCGGGCCUCUUGCCAUCUGAUGUGCCCAGAUGGGAUUAGCUAGUAGGUGGGGUAACGGCUCACCUAGGCGACGAUCCCUAGCUGGUCUGAGAGGAUGACCAGCCACACUGGAACUGAGGCACGGUCCAGACUCCUACGGGAGGCAGCAGUGGGGAAUAUUGCACAAUGGGCGCAAGCCUGAUGCAGCCAUGCCGCGUGUAUGAAGAAGGCCUUCGGGUUGUAAAGUACUUUCAGCGGGGAGGAAGGGAGUAAAGUUAAUACCUUGACUCAUUGACGGUACCCGCAGAAGAAGCACCGGCUAACUCCGUG
rnacentral:rRNA from 1 species